rnacentral:tRNA from 1 species
GGCCGCGUGGCCUAAUGGCAUGGCGUUAGAUUUCGGUGUUAACAACAAUGACAACCUGUUCUCUAAAGAUUGUCGGUUCGAAUCCGGCCGUGGUCG